rnacentral:rRNA from 1 species
AGAGUUUGAUCCUGGCUCAGAUUGAACGCUGGCGGCAGGCCUAACACAUGCAAGUUGAGCGCUGAAGGUUGGUACUUGUACCGACUGGAUGAGCAGCGAACGGGUGAGUAACGCGUGGGGAAACUGCCCGAUGGAGGGGGAUAACUACUGGAAACGGUAGCUAAUACCGCAUAACGUCGCAAGACCAAAGAGGGGGACCUUAGGGCCUCUUGCCAUCGGAUGUGCCCAGAUGGGAUUAGCUUGUAGGUGAGGUAACGGCUCACCAAGGCGACGAUCCCUAGCUGGUCUGAGAGGAUGACCAGCCACACUGGAACUGAGACACGGUCCAGACUCCUACGGGAGGCAGCAGUGGGGAAUAUUGCACAAUGGGCGCAAGCCUGAUGCAGCCAUGCCGCGUGUAUGAAGAAGGCCUUCGGGUUGUAAAGUACUUUCAGCGGGGAGGAAGGGGUUAAGGUUAAUAACCUUAGCCAUUGACGUUACCCGCAGAAGAAGCACCGGCUAACUCCGUGCCAGCCGCCGCGGUAAUUC